GUAGAAGUAGCCAUUUGGAGUGUGACCUUGCAGCUUUUAUGGCGCAAGGAGACAACAAUAUGAGCUUACUUUCAGUCACAAUCUUUCAUGAGCAAAUAUUAUUUAAUUAGAAAAAUUAUUUGAGAUCAUUACAAAAGGUAAACAAAUAUAUUCUCUUUGUAGAAUUCAAUAUUUUUUAAAUAUAUGGUAUGCUCAGUAUUGUGUCUACUAAUAAGUUUUCAUUAUGAUCGUAUUCUUUAGAAAAGGAUAGACUCACAACUCUCAUAUGUGAUUUUCCUGUUUUCUUUUGGAAUAAAAUUUAUUUACUUAAAAAAAAAAAAA